AUUGAACGCUGGCGGCAGGCCUAACACAUGCAAGUCGAGCGGAUGAAGGGAGCUUGCUCCUGGAUUCAGCGGCGGACGGGUGAGUAAUGCCUAGGAAUCUGCCUGGUAGUGGGGGAUAACGUCCGGAAACGGGCGCUAAUACCGCAUACGUCCUGAGGGAGAAAGUGGGGGAUCUUCGGACCUCACGCCAUCAGAUGAGCCUAGGUAGGAUUAGCUAGUUGGUGGGGUAAAGGCCUACCAAGGGGACGAUCCGUAACUGGCCUGAAAGGAUGAUCAGUCACCCUGGAACUGGUACCCGGUCCAGACUCCUACGGGAGGCAGCGGUGGGGAAUAUUGGACAAUGGGCGAAAGCCUGAUCCAGCCAUGCCGCGUGUGUGAAGAAGGUCUUCGGAUUGUAAAGCACUUUAAGUUGGGAGGAAGGGCAGUAAGUUAAUACCUUGCUGUUUUGACGUUACCAACAGAAUAAGCACCGGCUAACUUCGUG
rnacentral:rRNA from 1 species